GUCCACGCCGUAAACGAUGAAUGUUAGCCGUCGGGCAGUCUACUGUUCGGUGGCGCAGCUAACGCAUUAAACAUUCCGCCUGGGGAGUACGGUCGCAAGAUUAAAACUCAAAGGAAUUGACGGGGGCCCCGCACAAGCGGUGGAGCAUGUGGUUUAAUUCGAAGCAACGCGCAGAACCUUACCAGCUCUUGACAUCUGGGUCGCGGUUACCGGAGACGGUAUCCUUCAGUUCGGCUGGACCCAAGACAGGUGCUGCAUGGCUGUCGU
rnacentral:rRNA from 1 species